rnacentral:misc_RNA from 1 species
UUAAAACCAAACUUGAUAGACUUACUUACCUCCAAAUGCUUCUCUCCUUUUCUCUUCGUUCUUCUACUCCAGAUGGGUCCUCUCUACUUCUUCAUAUCUCACAAACCUCUUCUCAUUUGUUUCAUUGUCUUCUUCUUCUUCUUCACUACUUUGGCGGAGGAAUCCCUGUCAGCAGAUCAAAAGUUCCAGGCUUGUGCACCAACAUCCUGUGGCAAAGGCCCCAAUAUAAGCUACCCUUUUCUCUUAUCUAACGUUCAAGAAUCCUUCUGUGGCUACCCACAUUUCAACAUCACUUGUAAGCAAGAAUACCCAGUUCUCAGAAUCUCCAGUGAUGAUUAUAUCAUUAAAGAUAUCUUUUAUAACAAUCAGUCCUUCCUCGUAGCUAGUGCUUUGGUCUAUGAGGAGGAUACAUGUCCAAUUCCUUUGCAUAAUGUGACCCUUGAUCUAGCUCCCUUCAAUAUUAGUCCUGGCUAUAUUGAUUUUUCCUUCUUAUACAAUUGUACCUCAGAGCCUGCAAACUACCCUAUAUAUCCCAUAAGUUGUGCCACCAAUUCUACUGUUUCUUCUUUUGCGGGGUUUCACAUUGAAGAACUGGAGUUAUACUACAGCUAUUCUUUGAACUCAUGCAACUACUUCGUCAAUGCUCCUUUGCACACUGGUAGUGAUGUUUAUAGUUUGUACAAUAAGGAUUAUACUGAGAUUUUGAAGCUGGGGUUCCUCUUGAAUUGGACCGCGCAUAAUUGCAGCACUUGUGAGAGAAGUGGUGGCCGCUGUGGAUUUGAGAAUCAUGAAUUUGUUUGUUUUUGUCAUGAUCAAACUCAUCUCAAUUCCUGUGAUGAUGGCGAUGGUAUGAAUGUGGGAAUGAAAGUUGGUACAGUCUAUGGGAGAAGCAGCUUGGAAUCUU